UGUUACAUGAGGAAUGGUUUGAAAACAGGAGCUUUCAGGGCUGUCAGUACAAUGGUUCCCUAUGACCCAACCCACACAUGUGCCCAGCACCAUGCCUGCAGUGGUCAUGUGAAGGGAAGGACCAACACUGAGCACUCACAAAACGUCUGUUGUGCUUUCUCAAACUGUUGCCAUAACAUGCUAAUAGCUAUUUUAUGAUCUUACUAAAUAAUAAUUAAAAUUCCUAGUACCUGUCUCAGCUGAUUAAGGUAAUUAUGGUGCUUCCUAGUACGGCAGUACCUCAGAUUACUGUUGCUGUUUGCUUCUCUUGCCAAGAAUAAACCAGGAAUUUUUGCAUGGCCUCAUUCAGGAACCAUUGCAGUUAGAUACAAAUUUGCAUGCGUGCAGUUGUGCUCAUUUUGUACUGCUUUCAGUGACCAGCGUGCAAUGAUAGGUCACUAAAUGUCAUUCCCUGAUUCGUGUAGAUGCAUUAGGAACUUGCAUCAAAAGCAAACAAAUCAAAGAGAAAAAGCAGCUCUUCUUCCACGAAUCCGCUCCCACGUGCGAAGGGCGCUGUGUUUCCCACACCUCAGCCGGAUCGGUGCAGCUGGUUGAGGCGGAACUCGCGGCUCUGCUCCGCACGAGCACCGGCGCUGCUGGAGGAGCUGCUCCCCAGGCGCGCGCCCCGCCGCUCCGCGCGCAGGCGAAGGUGUGAGGGCGGGGAGAUGCCGGUGCUCGCAGCUCGGCCCCGGCUUCUGUCCUCAAUGCACCGCGCCGCUACGGAUUUCUUGCGUCAUUUUGGGGGCUCUUAAGGAGCCGUCGAGGGUUUCUGAGACUCUGCAAUUCCGUCUCGACGCUUCCUGCGGCCGCUGGGUAUGGAGAGAAGCAGCUUUAGAAGAUGCUCUUGACAAAAAAAAAAACAUAUUUGUACGAAGUUUGCACUAGACAAAAAGUGAUGGAGCUGAAGACAAAUGGCAACACUAACUUCUCAAGGCACUCUUGACAGAAGUCUACACGCUGGAUAAACCCAAGUGUCCUCAGCCUCUCCUCAGAGGAAGUACCCUCCAGCCCUUUUAUCCGCUUUGUUGCCUACCUCUGCACACUUUCAAGGACCCAAACAUCAUUUUAAAUUGUGGAUUCCAGAACUGCAUGCAGUAUUCAAGAAAUAUCUUUGGCCUACAGAGUUCAGAUUGGAGAAGAUCCAGCCCAAAGGAGCAACAAAAAAGGUGAAUAACUUCACAAGGUAACCUGCUUCAGCAAGAGGUUGGAAUAGAUGACCUCUAGAGAUCCCUUCAGGCCUCUGUGAUUCUGUGAUUUGGUGUGAUUCUGUGUAUGUGUUGACCUGUUUGUUUUGAAAUUGAAAUUACUUUGCCUACUAAUGGUUUUCUACUGUUCACUUGGAGGGUUUUUUAAUGAUAUUUACUCCAUUUUUCAAACUUAAAUGAAUCUACACAUUUAGUUUAUACCUGAAAUACAGAACUUGUAUAAACAAUAGAAACCUAAAUUUAUUGCUUUCCUGUAAAACAAUCCUCUGUUUAUUAUAACUCUGUGGCAAAAAUGAUGGCUUGCUAUAGUGCUGCUCCUAAUAAAGACUCAAAUGUGUAGUAGUGCAUAAGGGACUUCUAACGAGCAUUCAAGGUUCUAAUACUUGCUAAUGUCCUUACUUGCUAUUAAUUCAUAAAUAUCCCCUUGAAAAUGAUAGCUGUUUCUCAUACAUGCAUUAAACGUUGCUUCUAGGUGUGUAUAUGAGCAAAUUCACUUCUCUAUGAUGUCUAAGAAAAUAGUGUUUGUGAGAUUUGUACCUUCUUAAGAUGUCCCUGGGGUUCCCGUAAUGAUUUUGCCUCCCUUGUAAUAUCUGCUGCAGAGCCAAAAUAUGGCAAAGAAAUUUCAGACAUCCGCUGGAACAAGCAUAUCACAGUAUCUGAAUUAAGGAGCUUUUUUAUAUUAAGAGCAUAUUUUAUAUAAAAAUAAUAUGAAAGCCAAAGGAUGGAAAUUGAGGAAUUUUAUUAUUUUUCCCAGUGUAAGAAGUAGUUAUAAAGGACAUUUUGUCUCUUAUUAUUGUCUCUUACUACUGACAGCAUUUUUGCCACUGUAAAUGAGUAAUAUUAUCUUGAAUAAUGAUUAUUUUUCUGUGAUUUCUGUAGUACAAGAUUUAUCUGUAAAAUCUAAUCUUGUUCAAAUAUUCCUAUAUCUGGACUACUAUCAGUACCUCUAGAACAGGAAGGAAAAAACAACAAGAACAACAAAAAAGCACCUAAAUAAUUCAUGUGACAUAAGAAAAGACAAAAGGUAAUUGAAAUUGAUGUUUAGUUGUCUGGGUGAUGAAGUGGAACAAAUUUCUUGUCUGUAUUAUCACUGAGAGGAAUCUGGGGCCUUUGUGGUUAACCACCCAUCCUGCAUGAGGAACAUGUGGCUCCUUCAGAAAGGCUCUAAGGGCUGAGCAGGUUUCCUCCCGGAUGUUCCUCUCUACUUAAUUGCAUUGUGGGUGACAUUUGUGGUCAGCAAGCCUUGAAAGAAACCUCAUUUUAACUCUCUAUAGGUAAAAUCAAUACAAUUUGUUUUGCAGCAUUUAAUCAGUUCUUUUCUUUGCUGUUACGCACUGCAGUGUAGGAUUCAAUUUUGGGGAAUUUUUUUUAAGUGAUUGAAGUUCUACCUAGUAGAAUGUAGUAGAUCUACUAUGAUUGCUGGCUUCAUGAAAGCAUCCUCAAGUUGUUGUACAUGAAGUUGUUAGGCUUUUAAGCAUUUGGUGAAAGAUGAAAGCUGAUCCCGUUUUUUGCAGCACUAUUUUUCUGACUGUG